rnacentral:rRNA from 1 species
UGAAAUCUGGCGUAUUCUGCGUCCGAGUUGUAAUUUGAAGAAGGAUACUUUGGGGUUGGCUCUUGUCUAUGUUUCUUGGAACAGAACGUCACAGAGGGUGAGAAUCCCGUGCGAUGAGAAGCCCAAUUCCGUGUAAAGUGCCUUCGAAGAGUCGAGUUGUUUGGGAAUGCAGCUCUAAGUGGGUGGUAAAUUCCAUCUAAAGCUAAAUAUUGGCGAGAGACCGAUAGCGAACAAGUACAGUGAUGGAAAGAUGAAAAGAACUUUGAAAAGAGAGUGAAAAAGUACGUGAAAUUGUUGAAAGGGAAGGGCUUGAGAUCAGACUUGGUAUUUUGUAUGUCUUGCUUUCGGGUGGGGCCUCUGCAGUUUACUGGGCCAGCAUCGGUUCGGGUGGUAGGACAAUUGCGAAGGAACGUGGCACUGCUUCGGUGGUGUGUUAUAGCCUUUGUGGAUACUGCCUGUCU